rnacentral:rRNA from 1 species
AGAGGAAGGUGGGGAUGACGUCAAGUCCUCAUGGCCCUUACGGGCUGGGCUACACACGUGCUACAAUGGUGGUGACAGUGGGCAGCGAGACAGCGAUGUCGAGCUAAUCUCCAAAAGCCAUCUCAGUUCGGAUUGCACUCUGCAACUCGAGUGCAUGAAGUUGGAAUCGCUAGUAAUCGCAGAUCAGCAUGCUGCGGUGAAUACGUUCCCGGGCCUUGUACACACCGCCCGUCACACCAUGGGAGUUGGUUUUACCCGAAGGUAGUGCGCUAACCGCAAGGAGGCAGCUAACCACGGUAGGGUCAGCGACUGGGGUGAAGUCGUAACAAGGUAGCCGUAA